rnacentral:rRNA from 1 species
UCCUACGGGGGGCAGCAGUGGGGGAUAUUGCACAAUGGGGGGAACCCUGAUGCAGCGACGCCGCGUGGGUGAAGAAGCGCCUCGGCGCGUAAAGCCCUGUCCGCAGGGAAGAAAAUGACGGUACCUGAAGAAGAAGCCCCGGCUAACUACGUGCCAGCAGCCGCGGUAAUACGUAGGGGGCAAGCGUUAUCCGGAUUUACUGGGUGUAAAGGGGGCGCAGACGGCGAUGCAAGCCAGGAGUGAAAGCCCGGGGCUCAACCCCGGGACUGCUCUUGGAACUGCGUGGCUGGAGUGCAGGAGGGGCG